rnacentral:sRNA from 1 species
GAACACAUCUGAAUUCCUUCUCUGUGGCAUAUGCUUUAGGAGAGGAGCAGACAGCUCUUAGCUAGGGUCAGAUUUCAAAUUCUCAUCUCUUGGUGCCAAUACCAGCACCAGAUUCUUCUUUGAAGUCAACUUUUGAGAUCUUCACUAAGUACACGUUGGUGUCUGAAGAUUCACACGAGUGCCUCUGGUAAUCAUUUUCUUCAGGGAAUCACAGUCUCUCCUCUCAGCAAAGCAUCCACUGUACUGAACUUUGCUUUUGGAAACAUCUUCUUCCUGAGACCUCAUUGAAAGAAACUCUCUGGUGUCAUACUUUCCAAUAUGGAGGUGAAGAACUUUGCAAUUUGGGAUUAUGUUGUAUUUGCAGCCCUCUUUUUCAUUUCCUCUGGAAUUGGGGUGUUCUUUGCCAUUAAGGAGAGAAAAAAGGCAACUUCCCGAGAGUUCCUGGUUGGGGGAAGGCAAAUGAGCUUUGGCCCUGUCAGCUUGUCUCUGACAGCCAGCUUCAUGUCAGCUGUCACGGUCCUGGGGACCCCUUCUGAAGUCUACCGCUUUGGGGCAUCCUUCCUAGUCUUCUUCAUUGCUUACCUAUUUGUCAUCCUCUUAACAUCAGAGCUCUUUCUCCCUGUGUUCUACAGAUCUGGUAUCACCAGCACUUAUGAGUACUUACAACUACGAUUCAAUAAACCAGUUCGCUAUGCUGCCACAGUCAUCUACAUUGUACAGACGAUUCUCUACACAGGAGUGGUGGUGUAUGCUCCUGCCCUGGCACUCAAUCAAGUGACUGGGUUUGAUCUCUGGGGCUCUGUGUUUGCAACAGGAAUUGUUUGCACAUUCUACUGUACCCUGGUAUGUAUCUAGCUGUGAAGAAGUAUUUAACACUACCUCCUAAUAUGGGAUAAGGGCAAAUCUCCAGCAAUAGGCAUCUAAUUAUAGCAGAAUUCGUUAUUCCAAAAUUAAGCAGAAGUAUGUCGGCUUAUCUGUCACAGUUUCCUGAGGAAGGUGCUGUUGUUUAACAUUCUUUUCAUUACCAACCUUUAGGAGAAUUUAAUCUCUGCACUCAUUCAAGAAAAUCAUGCCUAAUAAGAAAAAAAUCUAAUG